rnacentral:sRNA from 1 species
GGCCGGGCGCGGUGGCUCACGCCUGUAAUCCCAGCUCUCAGGGAGGCAAGAGGCGGGAGGAUAGCUUGAGCCCAGGAGUUCGAGACCUGCCUGGGCAAUAUAGCGAGACCCCGUUCUCCAGAAAAAGGAAAAAAAAAAAAAAAAACAAAAGACAAAAAAAAAAUAAGCGUAACUUCCCUCAAAGCAACAACCCCCCCCCCCCCUUUU